UUAAGUUCAGCGGGUAGUCCCGCCUGAUUCGAGGUCAAAGUUGAAAAAUAUCAUGAAAUGAUGAGUUAGAAGCAGUUCAAGGCAGGCUUGGCCAUCCCGAGAGAUGUCCUCAGCGGUCAUAGAUUAUCACGCUGAGUAGAACCAAUUCCCACAACAAGAGCCAGCUAAUACAUUUGAGACCAGCCGUUCCAGACAAGGAG
rnacentral:misc_RNA from 1 species